AGAGCGAACGCUGGCGGCAGGCCUAAUACAUGCAAGUCGAACGCACCUUCGGGUGAGUGGCGGACGGGUGAGUAACACGUGGGAACGUGCCCUUUGGUUCGGAAUAAUCCGGGGAAACCUGGCCUAAUACCGGAUGUGCCCUUCGGGGGAAAGAUUUAUCGCCAUUGGAGCGGCCCGCGUCUGAUUAGCUUGUUGGUGGGGUAAUGGCCCACCAAGGCUACGAUCAGUAGCUGGUCUGAGAGGAUGAUCAGCCACACUGGGACUGAGACACGGCCCAGACUCCUACGGGAGGCAGCAGUAGGGAAUCUUGCGCAAUGGGCGAAAGCCUGACGCAGCCAUGCCGCGUGAAUGAUGAAGGUCUUAGGAUUGUAAAAUUCUUUCAGCGGGAAGAUAAUGACUGUACCCGCAGAAGAAGCUCCGGCUAACUUCGCGCCAGCAGCCGC
rnacentral:rRNA from 1 species